rnacentral:misc_RNA from 1 species
AUUUUAGAUAAGAAGUCUAUCGAGGAGCAUGUAUACGGUCAAAAAUGGAUGUGCAAGAGCAAUUUUCACGAGCAAGAUUUGCUACUAUAGUUGUCGGAACUAAAAUGUUGCAAUUGAUAUUUGAAAAACUUAAAGAUGAUUUUUGUGUCCACGCAAAAAUUAAAGAGAUAUUAAAAGUGAAAGAUUUCCACCCACUUUCAAUGAACUUCAUGGACUUGUACGAUUUGUGUACGAAGGAUUUGGUGAAAAAAUUGCAUCCAUCAACAAAUUGGAACGCAUCAGUUAAUCCACAAGAUGUUUUAUUGGGUGACGAUAUCAAGAGAAUAAAAAAGUUAUUGCAUAUUUUCAGUGAAACAGAAUCUGAGUUGCUGGAGUACAGAAAAACACAUGAUGAUAUUUGUAAAGCUCUUAAUGAUAUCAUAAAAAGAUUUUUCAACUCGGAAAGAGAAGAUUUCUCAAGGAUUUUUCAAGACAUAAUGCAUCGUUUAAUUAUUGAUGAGAUCAACGCAGAUUUACAAACCAUUUUCUGCAAAGGUAUUUCAGCUCAUAUUCUACAGAAGUAUACAACUGCACCAGCAAAACCUGAGGCUUGCCGGAAUCGUGAACAAAACGAAAAGUCAUUAUAUUCUAGACAUCAUGUUAAUGUUACUGAAAAAGAGUGCCCUUCAAAAAACAACCGGAUGAAAAAUACUACUAGUAAAGUAUCCACAGACGCCUUUCCUGAAUGUGACUCCCACUGGCAAAAGGAGAUGACAGCGAUGAAAGAAAAUAUGCCACCGAGAAUAGCUACUGAAAUCAAGGAAAGAAGUAAGCCGAGUUCUUCGUCUGAGAACAUUUCUACAAAAAGGUUCAUCAAGAAACAGAUCUUCUUUGAUUUUGUUCCACCGCCUCUCAAUUAUUUCGAGUAUACUAUGAACGAACUUUACAACAUUGAAAAGUCCCUGAACCGAGUUAUCAAACCAGAUUGUUUGAAACCAUCAGUAUCAAAAUAUAUGUCCUUUUCAUUUGUUUAUGGGAAUCAUAUGAAUGUAACAAGAGCAUCACUGGCCUUAUUUGAUGCAGAACCAGAGGAGAAAGAAGAAGACGGCAAUGAAAGUGGAAUCAAUGUUGUUUAUCUGGACAAAGACAUGACAUUUGAAAUGAAGGUUUAUGUCCAGAGGCAAAGGAGUUGGAUUACAUUCUACCAGAUGUAAAAGAACGGUUUGUGAAACUUCGACAACUGAACAACCCUCCGAAAGUCAAAAAAAUUAAAAAACCGACUCUGAAAAUGAGAAGGGCAUUAUCAAGAUUGAGAGAGAAGGGGUUGCUUGGAUAUACGAUGGAAAACAAUACUCUUAUCCUUUGCGUUGAAAGCUCAUCAAAUCCACUUUCAAAUGACAGAAUUCCAAAAAUCAUAAAAGAUGAAUUCGAAUCUAUAAACAUUAAUGUAAUGGAAAAGUUAUUUACUGUUCACUACGGUAUAACACCCGGUAAAAAGUUGCAUCCCGAGAUACACAAUGCCAGCAAAUAUGGAACCUUGGGAAUGUUUGGUUCUUUGCGAUCCAAAAAAGGAGGAAAUUCAAGAAGAUGUUGUAUUUCUAGUGCACAUGUGGUAUCAGGUGGACAAACCACAUAUAUUUUAAAUGCAACAGUGAAACUAGGAAGCUGUAUUUGGCCUCCACCUGUUCAAUACCAUCACAUUAAUGUACAAGACAUUUCAGUUAUUCCUAUAGAAGCAAAUGAUAUCCAGCUUUCUACACUAAAAGGUGAGGUUAUUGUAUUUGAUGAGGCCGACCGUCAAACAUUGGAUAGAAGAAAAGUGUUCAAAUAUGGAGCAACUACAGAUAAAACAGAAGGGUUUAUUUGCAAAACUGAUUUUGUUUUAGAGUUAGGUAAUCCACCGAUAAAUGUGUUUUUAAUAGAACCAAAAAACAAAAGUGACGAGGAAUCAAGGUUUUCAAAACCUGGGGACAGUGGUGCCGUUGUCUUUACAAAAUUUGGCCAACGUGUUUAUGUUUUUUCUAUGAUAUUUGGUGGUGAUGUCAACAUCGAAGGAGUGGCAAAAAAUAACUCUAUUGCUGUUGAGCUUAAGUAUGCAAUUAAUCAAUUUGAAAAGGCCAGUGAUAAAAUUCUUGAACUGGAUGCUUUGUAAAUUAAGAAUGCAAUAGAGAUCUGGUACUUUUUUUUUACUUUGGAUUUAAACAAAUAAAAUUAGAAUUUAUCCCUAC